rnacentral:rRNA from 1 species
GCUGUCGUCAGCUCGUGUCGUGAGAUGUUGGGUUCAGUCCCGCAACGAGCGCAACCCUUGUCCUGUGUUACCAGCGCGUGGGGGGGGGGAUUCACAGGUGCCUCCCGGCGUAAGUCGGAGGAAGGCGGGGAUGACGUCAAAUCAUCAUGCCCCUGAUGUCCUGGGCUACACACGUGCUACAAUGGGCGGUACAAAGGGAGGCGAAGCCGCGAGGCGGAGCGAAACCCAUAAAGCCGCUCGUAGUUCGGAUUGCAGUCUGCAACUCGCCUGCAUGAAGUCGGAAUCGCUAGUAAUCGCGGA